CGGCGCACGGGUGAUUAACGCGUAUCCAACCUGCCCACCACUUGGGGAUAACCUUGCGAAAGUAAGACUAAUACCCAAUGACGUCCAUAGAAGACAUCUGAAAUGGAUUAAAGAUUUAUCGGUGAUGGAUGGGGAUGCGUCUGAUUAGCUUGUUGGCGGGGUAACGGCCCACCAAGGCGACGAUCAGUAGGGGUUCUGAGAGGAAGGUCCCCCACAUUGGAACUGAGACACGGUCCAAACUCCUACGGGAGGCAGCAGUGAGGAAUAUUGGUCAAUGGGCGAGAGCCUGAACCAGCCAAGUAGCGUGCAGGAUGACGGCCCUAUGGGUUGUAAACUGCUUUUAUAAGGGAAUAAAGUGAGUCUCGUGAGACUUUUUGCAUGUACCUUAUGAAUAAGGACCGGCUAAUUCCGUGCCAGCAGCCGCGGUAAUACGGAAGGUCCGGGCGUUAUCCGGAUUUAUUGGGUUUAAAGGGAGCGUAGGCCGGAGAUUAAGCGUGUUGUGAAAUGUAGAUGCUCAACAUCUGCACUGCAGCGCGAACUGGUUUCCUUGAGUACGCACAAAGUGGGCGGAAUUCGUGGUGUAGCGGUGAAAUGCUUAGAUAUCACGAAGAACUCCGAUUGCGAAGGCAGCUCACUGGAGCGCAACUGACGCUGAAGCUCGAAAGUGCGGGUAUCGAACAGGAUUAGAUACCCUGGUAGUCCGCACGGUAAACGAUGGAUGCCCGCGGUUGGUCUGAAUAGGUCAGCGUCCAAGCGAAUCCGGAAAGCAUCCCACCUGGGGGU
rnacentral:rRNA from 1 species